CUUGAAUAUUAUCCUUCAUAUAAGUAAAUUCAUUUCAUUAAAGUAAAGUGAUUCAGUUGCACUCACCCAUUGACACAUCUCUGGUUAUUCACUUCCCCAGCCAUUGCAAAGCAAGCCUCUAUGAGACAUAUUUAGACUCCUUGGGAAUCCUUCAUGAGUUUAACUUAUCUCUUUAAUAUUUUGUCCUUAACAGAGAUUACUUUAUUAAUUGCCAUGAACAAGGAUGGUUGGACUUUGCAUCUUUGUUUUAAGCUCUUCAGGUUAGAGAACAGCAGAAGAGAAAGAGAGGAGAGCUGGGAACCUCUGCAUGCUAUGGGAAAGAAAGCACGAUCUUCACUGGAGAUGAAAAAUACAG
rnacentral:lncRNA from 1 species